rnacentral:rRNA from 1 species
CUCCUACGGGAGGCAGCAGUGGGGAAUAUAGCACAAUGGGCGCAAGCCUGAUGCAGCGACGCCGCGUGAGGGAUGACGGCCUUCGGGUUGUAAACCUCUGUUAGCACCGAAGAAGCGAAUAGUGACGGUAGGUGCAGAGAAAGCGCCGGCUAACUACGUGCCAGCAGCCGCGGUAAUACGUAGGGCGCGAGCGUUGUCCGGGAAUUAUUGGGCGUAAAGAGCUUGUAGGCGGUUGGUCGCGUCUGCUGUGAAAGGCCGGGGCUUAACCCCGUGUAUGGCAGUGGGUACGGGCUAACUAGAGUGCAGUAGGGGAGACUGGAACUCCUGGUGUAGCGGUGGAAUGCGCAGAUAUCAGGAAGAACACCGAUGGCGAAGGCAGGUCUCUGGGCUGUAACUGACGCUGAGAAGCGAAAGCAUGGGGAGCGAACAGGAUUAGAUACCCUGGUAGUCCAUGCCGUAAACGUUGGGCACUAGGUGUGGGGGGCAUUCCACGUUUUCCGCGCCGUAGCUAACGCAUUAAGUGCCCCGCCUGGGGAGUACGGCCGCAAGGCUAAAACUCAAAGAAAUUGACGGGGGCCCGCACAAGCGGCGGAGCAUGCGGAUUAAUUCGAUGCAACGCGAAGAACCUUACCAAGGCUUGACAUGUAUCAGAUCGCGUCAGAGAUGGCGUUUCCCUUUGGGGCUGGUAUACAGGUGGUGCAUGGUUGUCGUCAGCUCGUGUCGUGAGAUGUUGGGUUAAGUCCCGCAACGAGCGCAACCCUCGUUCUAUGUUGCCAGCACGUGAUGGUGGGGACUCAUAGGAGACUGCCGGGGUCAACUCGGAGGAAGGUGGGGAUGACGUCAAAUCAUCAUGCCCCUUAUGUCUUGGGCUUCACGCAUGCUACAAUGGCCGGUACAGAGGGUUGCGAUACUGUGAGGUGGAGCUAAUCCCUAAAAGCCGGUCUCAGUUCGGAUUGGGGUCUGCAACUCGACCCCAUGAAGUCGGCGUCGCUAGUAAUCGCAGAUCAGCAACGCUGCGGUGAAUACGUUCCCGGGUCUUGUACACACGC